rnacentral:misc_RNA from 1 species
GUGAGUCAUCGAAUCUUUGAACGCACAUUGCGCCCGCCAGUACUCUGGCGGGCAUGCCUGUCCGAGCGUCAUUUCAACCCUCGAGCCCCAGCCGGCUCGGUGUUGGGGACCGGCCCCGGCCGCCCCCGAAAUGCAGUGGCGACCUCGCCGCAGCCUCCCCUGCGUAGUAGCACAACCUCGCACCGGAGCGCGGAGACGGUCACGCCGUUAAACGCCCAACUUCUCAAGAGUUGACCUCGGAUCAGGUAGGAAUACCCGCUGAACUUAAGCAUAUCAAUAAGCGGAGGA